rnacentral:lncRNA from 1 species
AGAGUGGAGCCGCAGCGGGUGGGCAGUGUCUACACCUAGGUCGGGGAGGCUGGGUGCGCCCUUCUUCGGAUCCCUGGGUCGGCUGGCGAAACCCGCCCAGCCGGUCCAGUCGUCCUCCGAAGCUGGGAGAACAGGGAGGGGCAGACAGGUGGAAGAAGACCAAGGGUGCUGGUAACGGGGGCUAACUGGGCAGCCAGACACCGGAGGGAUCAUCCAUUUAAAGGCCUCGCAAUCUAGAGGCCGGACUCCUAAUGAAGUAACAUGACUUUAUUGUUCCAAUAACAGGCACCUGGAUGGAGCACCUAAGGGAAGUGUUCAGAAAGACAUGUUUGUUGAGAGUUCUUACCGUGAAAAAAUAAAAAGAUUUGAUGACUUUUCUAAGAUAAUGAAUUCAGAAGCAUCUGGAGGUUUCAGUGUUUGGCCUCUGAAGGAGGGCUUAUAGGGCUUUUUAUAAGUCCUAAAGCACGUAGGUUCUUUUUGUUAUUCCCAAUUGGUUGCCUUGUAGAUUCCUACUAAAACCCUUAAUGAAAAGGACUAUGCGCUAUGGUUGUUCUAAAGAAAUAGAAGUAAUAGUAGGACUAGAG